rnacentral:rRNA from 1 species
GAGGAAUAUUGGUCAAUGGACGAGAGUCUGAACCAGCCAAGUAGCGUGCAGGAUGACGGCCCUAUGGGUUGUAAACUGCUUUUGUAUGGGGAUAAAGUCAAUCACGUGUGAUUGUUUGCAGGUACCAUACGAAUAAGGACCGGCUAACUCCGUGCCAGCAGCCGCGGUAAUACGGAAGGUCCGGGCGUUAUCCGGAUUUAUUGGGUUUAAAGGGAGCGUAGGCUGGAGAUUAAGUGUGUUGUGAAAUGUAGACGCUCAACGUCUGAAUUGCAGCGCAUACUGGUCUCCUUGAGUACGCACAACGUUGGCGGAAUUCGUCGUGUAGCGGUGAAAUGCUUAGAUAUGACGAAGAACUCCGAUUGCGAAGGCAGCUGACGGGAGCGCAACUGACGCUUAAGCUCGGAGGUGCGGGUAUCGAACAGGAUUAGAUACCCUGGUAGUCCGCACAGUAAACGAUGGAUGCCCGCUGUUGGUACCUGGUAUCAGCGGCUAAGCGAAAGCAUUAAGCAUCCCACCUGGGGAGUACGCCGGCAACGGUG